rnacentral:rRNA from 1 species
AUUGAACGCUGGCGGCAGGCCUAACACAUGCAAGUCGAGCGGCAGCGGGAAGUAGCUUGCUACUUUGCCGGCGAGCGGCGGACGGGUGAGUAAUGUCUGGGAAACUGCCCGAUGGAGGGGGAUAACUACUGGAAACGGUAGCUAAUACCGCAUAACGUCGCAAGACCAAAGAGGGGGACCUUCGGGCCUCUUGCCAUCGGAUGUGCCCAGAUGGGAUUAGCUAGUAGGUGGGGUAACGGCUCACCUAGGCGACGAUCCCUAGCUGGUCUGAGAGGAUGACCAGCCACACUGGAACUGAGACACGGUCCAGACUCCCACGGGAGGCAGCAGUGGGGAAUAUUGCACAAUGGGCGCAAGCCUGAUGCAGCCAUGCCGCGUGUAUGAAGAAGGCCUUCGGGUUGUAAAGUACUUUCAGCGGGGAGGAAGGUGUUGAGGUUAAUAACCUCAGCAAUUGACGUUACCCGCAGAAGAAGCACCGGCUAACUCCGUGCCAGCAGCCGCGGUAACAC